rnacentral:rRNA from 1 species
AUACGGGUAGUAUAACUAUAAUUGUAGUCUGUACUAUACCUUAUGUAUGUAAGCGUAUUACCGGUGGAGUUCUUAUAUAUGUUAAAUACUUGUAUUUAUAUGUAUUCCUCCUAUUUAAACCUGCUUCAGUGCUCUUCAUUGCGUGCUGUUGUAGGCCGGUACAAUUACUUUGAACAAAUUAGAGUGCUUAAAGCAGGCUCCAAAUGCCUGAAUAUUUUGUGCAUGGAAUAAUGAAAUAAGACCUCUGUUCUACUUUCAUUGGUUUUUAGAUCAAGAGGUAAUGAUUAAUAGAAGCAGUUUGGGGGCAUUAGUAUUACGACGCGAGAGGUGAAAUUCUUGGACCGUCGUAAGACUAACUUAGGCGAAAGCAUUUGCCAAAGAUGUUUUCAUUAAUCAAGAACGAAAGUUAGAGGUUCGAAGGCGAUCAGAUACCGCCCUAGUUCUAACCAUAAACGAUGCCAGCUAGCAAUUGGGUGAAGCUACUAUUAUGGCUCUCUCAGUCGCUUCCCGGGUAACCAAAGCUUUUGGGCUCCGGGGGAAGUAUGGUUGCAAAGCUGAAACUUAAAGGAAUUGACGGAAGGGCACCACCAGGAGUGGAGCCUGCGGCUUAAUUUGACCCAACACGGGAAAACUUACCAGGUCCGAACAUAAGCGUGUAAGACAGAUUGAUAGCUCUUUCUCGAAUCUAUGGGUGGUGGUGCAUGGCCGUUCUUAGUUCGUGGAGUGAUUCGUCUGGUUAAUUCCGAUAACGAACGAGACUCAAAUAUAUUAAAUAGAUGCUUUCAGGAUUAUGGUGUUUGAAGCUUUUAUAGCCUUCAUUCAUGAAUGCAGUAACAUGUGUGAGUGUUUGAAUGUGUUUAUAAAGGUGGAGCCGUACCUGUUGGUAUGUCCCAUUAUAAGGACACUAGCUUCUUAAAUGGACAAAUUGCGUCUAGCAAUAAUGAGAUUGAGCAAUAACAGGUCUGUGAUGCCCUUAGAUGUCCUGGGCUGCACGCGCGCUACAAUGAAAGUAUCAACGUGCAUUUCCUAGACCGAGAGGUCCGGGUAAACUGCUGAACCACUUUCAUGCUUGGGAUUGUGAACUGAAACUGUUCACAUGAACUUGGAAUUCCCAGCAAGUGUGAGUCAUUAACUCGCAUUGAUUACGUCCCUGCCCUUUGUACACACCGCCCGUCGCUACUACCGAUUGAAUUAUUUAGUGAGGUCUCCGGACGUGAUCACUGUAACGCCUUGCGUGUUACGGAUGUUUCGCAAAAGUUGACCGAACUUGAUUAUUUAGAGGAAGUAAAAGUC